GAGAGAGGCAUAAAGCAGUAAGGAUUGCUAACCCCUACCACCCCGGCUAAAAUCCGCGGCUCACUC
rnacentral:tRNA from 1 species